rnacentral:rRNA from 1 species
UACGUAGGCAGCAAGCGUUGUUCGGAAUUACUGGGCGUAAAGAGUGUGUAGGCGGUGCUCUAAGUUCGGUGUGAAAUCUCCCGGCUUAACUGGGAGGGGCCGUGCGAAACUGCCGGGCUUGAGGUCAGAAGGGGAAAGUGGAAUUCCGGGUGUAGUGGUGGAAUACGUAGAUAUCCGGAGGAACACCAGCGGCGAAGGCGGCUUUCUGGUCUGAUACUGACGCUGAGGCGCGAAAGCGUGGGGAGCGAUCCGG